UACGGGGGGGGCAAGCGUUGUUCGGAAUUACUGGGCGUAAAGGGCUCGUAGGCGGCCAACUAAGUCCGACGUGAAAUCCCCAGGCUUAACCUGGGAACUGCGUCGGAUACUGGAUGGCUUGAAUUCGGGAGAGGGAUGCAGAAUUCCAGGUGUAGAGGUGAAAUUCGUAGAUAUUCGCAAGAACACCAGUGGCGAAGGCGGCUCACUGGCCCGGUACUGACGCUGAGGUGCGAAAGCGUGGGGAGCAAACAGG
rnacentral:rRNA from 1 species